GCCCCGAUAGCUCAGUGGUAGAGCACUUCCAUGGUAAGGAAGGGGUCGUCAGUUCAAUCCUGACUCGGG
rnacentral:tRNA from 1 species